rfam:Callithrix jacchus chromosome 22, whole genome shotgun sequence
AGGGAGUGGCCGUGAGGGAUCCCAAGGCCAGGUCUGGAAAAGGGGGGUGAGGGGGUGAGCGGCGCGGUGGGGGUGCAGCCCCCCAAACAAAGAAAUGGGAG